UUUAACAGCAACAGAGAAAAAAAAUCAGGAAAGACCAUGGUUUUGCAAAUAUAUUUGACCUGGCUUCUCUUUUCCAUGUUUGAAGAAUCCAGAGGGCAGAUUGUUAUCACUCAGACACCUGCUUCUGUGACGGUGCUUCCAGGAGAGACCGUCACCAUUGAGUGCAAGGCGUCCAGCUCCAUGAGUAACGAUAUGAACUUAUAUCUGUUUAAAUUGGGACAAAACCCCAAGUUCCUCAUUCGUGAUGUAACCAGCCGGCAAACUGGGGUCCCCGAUCGAUUCAGUGGUAGAUACAGUGGCACUGACUUCACCUUCACCAUUACUGGGGUGCAUGUGGAAGAUGCAGGAGAAUACUAUUGUGGACAAGACUACAGCACUCCUCUCACAGUGAUACAGUUCAGUACAAAAACCUGUUCAGAGCCCCAGUAA